GCUCGCAGCAAUACCUGUUCCGAAACACACAAUCGUUACAACUUUCAACAAUGGAUCUCUUGGCUCUGGCAUCGAUGAAGAACGCAGCGAAAUGCGAUAAGUAGUGUGAAUUGCAGAAUUCAGUGAAUCAUCGAAUCUUUGAACGCACAUUGCGCCCCUCGGUAUUCCGUGGGGCAUGCCUGUUCGAGCGUCAUCU
rnacentral:rRNA from 1 species